AGAGUUUGAUCCUGGCUCAGAACGAACGCUUGCGGCGUGCUUAACACAUGCAAGUCGAACGAGAAAGGGACUUCGGUCCUGAGUAAAGUGGCGCACGGGUGAGUAACGCGUAGGUAAUCUACCCCUGUGUUCGGGACAACAUCGGGAAACUGGUGCUAAUACCGGAUACGUUUCACGGAUUGCGAAAUAAGUGAAGGAAAGGUGGCGCCCCUUCGGGGGGCUAUUGCACGGGGAUGAGCCUGCGUACCAUUAGCUAGUUGGCAGGGUAAGGGCCUACCAAGGCGACGAUGGUUAGCGGGUCUGAGAGGAUGAUCCGCCACACUGGAACUGAAACACGGUCCAGACUCCUACGGGAGGCAGCAGUGAGGAAUUUUGCACAAUGGGGGAAACCCUGAUGCAGCGACGCCGCGUGAGUGACGAAGGCCUUCGGGUCGUAAAGCUCUGUCAGUAGGGAAGAAAUGUGCGAUGGCUAAUAUCCAUUGUACUUGACGGUACCUACAAAGGAAGCACCGGCUAACUCCGUGCCAGCAGCCGCGGUAAUACGGAGGGUGCGAGCGUUGUUCGGAUUUACUGGGCGUAAAGGGCGCGUAGGCGGUCAUUUAAGUCUGAUGUGAAAGCCCUGGGCUCAACCCGGGAAGUGCAUUGGAAACUGGAUGACUUGAGUACGGGAGAGGGUAGUGGAAUUCCGAGUGUAGGGGUGAAAUCCGUAGAUAUUCGGAGGAACACCGGUGGCGAAGGCGGCUACCUGGACCGAUACUGACGCUGAGACGCGAAAGCGUGGGGAGCAAACAGGAUUAGAUACCCUGGUAGUCC
rnacentral:rRNA from 1 species